GGGCCGUUAGCUCAGUUGGUAGAGCAGCUGACUCUUAAUCAGCGGGUCGCAGGUUCGAGUCCUGCACGGCCCACCA
rnacentral:tRNA from 10 species